GAUGAACGCUGGCGGCGUGCCUAAUACAUGCAAGUCGAGCGAACAGACGAGAAUCUUGCUUCUCUGAGGUUAGCGGCGGACGGGUGCGUAACACGUGGAUAACCUACCUAUCAGACUGGGAUAACUACUGGAAACCGGAGCUAAUACCGGAUAAUAUAUUCAACCGCAUGGUUCACUAGCGAAUGAUGGUCUUGUUGUCACUUCUAGAUGGAACCGCGCUGCAUUACCUAGUUGGUAAGGUAACGGCUUACCAAGGCAACGAUGCAUAGCCGACCUGAGAGGGUGAUCGGCCACACUGGAACUGAGACACGGUCCAGACUCCUACGGGAGGCAGCAGUAGGGAAUCUUCCGCAAUGGGCGAAAGCCUGACGGAGCAACGCCGCGUGAGUGAUGAAGGUCUUCGGAUCGUAAAACUCUGUUAUUAGGGAAGAACAUAUGUGUAAGUAACUGUGCACAUCUUGACGGUACCUAAUCAGAAAGCCACGGCUAACUACGUG
rnacentral:rRNA from 1 species